UACGUAGGUGACGAGCGUUAUCCGGAAUUACUGGGCGUAAAGCGCACGUAGGCGGAUUGCUAAGUCAGGGGUGAAAUCCUGGAGCUCAACUCCAGAACUGCCUUUGAUACUGGGAAGCUUGAGUCCGGAAGAGGUGAGUGGAACUCCGAGUGUAGAGGUGAAAUUCGUAGAUAUUCGGAAGAACACCAGUGGCGAAGGCGGCUCACUGGUCCGGUACUGACGCUGAGGUGCGAAAGCGUGGGGAGCAAACAGG
rnacentral:rRNA from 1 species